AUGACUGAUGUUGAUCGUGAGGCUGUUGUUAGUGGUGGAGAUGAUGCUCAUGGUGUUCCGUUGAGUAGUGGGCGCGAUGUUGGUGCCAAAGUUGCUGAUGAGGAUUUUGGUGCUGCUAGCAUACUUGAUGGCAAACCGUCUGGUGUUGGUAUUGCUGGGAAUGAAAAUCUUUCUGAUUUUGAAGAUUUGCCGCCGGAAAAUUUCCCGCCUGGAGGGCUUGAUUAUGGUGAUGCAUUGCAAGAUGCUUCUAGCGUGGAGGAGGAACUACCGUCGUCGUCAAACACUGAUAGUGCAGAAAGUGGAAAUGUUGUUAAGGUUGAUAUGUUUUUCUUCGCUUUUACGAGGUUGCGCACGAACCGUGCAAAACGUGACAAGCCGAUGUUUCAAAAUAAUGAGUGUGAUGCCAGUGUUGGUUCUAUUGCUAAAGCGUUUGUCCCCACUGGCAUGCUCAACUCAGACAGUGCUAACGUUGUUUUAUAUUCUCUACGUCAGAAGUACCGAGACACUGACAAGUUGAUAGUUCCCAGAUGGGUGACGCUUCUCUUCCCUACUUUUGAUCCACCGUCCAUUGCGGCUACCAUGAAGCCUAGCGAAGUAUCUGGGCAUUGGUGCUUGAUUGUUCUGAAUUUGAGGUUCCGUCGUUUUGAGUGUCUUGAUUCACUGCGCGAUGAAACCUGGAGUGAUGCAGUUAGAUUCUUAAGGAAUAUGACAGAUAACAUAAAGAAGGUUUGGAGGGAGUCUAGCGUAGACAGGGCGAAACCGUUCUCGUCGGCGCAUAUUGAUGAUUUCUCUUGCGAGUUUGUGCGGGUGCCGCAGCAGAAAAACACCCACGAAGACAUUCUUGACAUUAGGAAGACUUUUCUGUACACCUGCGCAACUAGCGAUGUGUUUGAUGUUUACUUCCGUGGUUUGUUUGGCAUCGAACCCUGUGAGUGGCUGGAUCUUAAUGAGCAUGCCUACAGGAUCUUUGGCAGCUAG
rnacentral:rRNA from 1 species